UACGAAGGGGGCUAGCGUUGCUCGGAAUUACUGGGCGUAAAGGGCGCGUAGGCGGUUUCGUUAGUCAGGCGUGAAAUUCCUGGGCUUAACCUGGGGACUGCGCUUGAUACAGCGAGACUUGAGGUCAGAAGAGGGUCGUGGAAUUCCCAGUGUAGAGGUGAAAUUCGUAGAUAUUGGGAAGAACACCGGUGGCGAAGGCGGAUCUCUGGGCCUUACCUGACGCUGAGGCGCGAAAGCUAGGGGAGCGAACAGG
rnacentral:rRNA from 1 species